rnacentral:rRNA from 1 species
AUUGAACGCUGGCGGCAUGCCUUACACAUGCAAGUCGAACGGUAACGCGGGGCAACCUGGCGACGAGUGGCGAACGGGUGAGUAAUGCAUCGGAACGUGCCUGGUAGUGGGGGAUAACUGCUCGAAAGAGCAGCUAAUACCGCAUACGACCUGAGGGUGAAAGGGGGGGAUCGCAAGACCUCUCGCUAUCAGAGCGGCCGAUGUCGGAUUAGCUAGUUGGUGGGGUAAAAGCCCACCAAGGCGACGAUCCGUAGCUGGUCUGAGAGGACGACCAGCCACACUGGGACUGAGACACGGCCCAGACUCCUACGGGAGGCAGCAGUGGGGAAUUUUGGACAAUGGACGCAAGUCUGAUCCAGCCAUGCCGCGUGCGGGAAGAAGGCCUUCGGGUUGUAAACCGCUUUUGUCAGGGAAGAAACGCUCUGGGUUAAUACCUCGGGGUAAUGACGGUACCUGAAGAAUAAGCACCGGCUAACUACGUGCCAGCCGCCGCAGUAAGAC